ACACCUUUUGCUGUCCCAAGCCCUUCCCUUCCUGCUGUAAGCCCCAUAAAUUCCAGUCCAGUCAAGCUCCCACCGGUUUCUCCUGAGACCCUAGUCCUGUCCACUCUGUCUGAUCCAGUUCCUCCCUGGGAGGGAGUCUCUUUUUAAAUCGGCCUCCUCUUGGUUGAUGCCCGUUGCCUGACCUCACAUCUGGUGCCAAGACCCGGGAUGGAUUUGGGGGGCUUCUCCUGCAGGGGACUGAAGUCCAUCCCUUCCCACCUUGAAACGGGGAAAUGUCUAAGCCGCUCUUUCCCUCUGCCUUCAUCCGGCCGCCAGGAGUGGGGCCUGAGACCAGCCAAGAGAAAUAGAAGAUUAUAUAAAAAUGGCUAUUAACCUAUUUAUGGAUUCUCUUUUUCGGAUUUCUAUACUGGCAUCGUUUUUAAAUGACCUAAACAUUGUGAAGAUUUUUUUUGUAGUUGCUGCUGUUAUUUUAAAUUGAGCAUAAAUCCUGUUAGUACUUUAAAUUA